UAGUGGCGAACGGGUGAGUAACACGUGGGCAAUCUGCCCUGCACUCUGGGACAAGCCCUGGAAACGGGGUCUAAUACCGGAUACGACCACUGAGGGCAUCCUCGGUGGUGGAAAGCUCCGGCGGUGCAGGAUGAGCCCGCGGCCUAUCAGCUUGUUGGUGGGGUGAUGGCCUACCAAGGCGACGACGGGUAGCCGGCCUGAGAGGGCGACCGGCCACACUGGGACUGAGACACGGCCCAGACUCCUACGGGAGGCAGCAGUGGGGAAUAUUGCACAAUGGGCGAAAGCCUGAUGCAGCGACGCCGCGUGAGGGAUGACGGCCUUCGGGUUGUAAACCUCUUUCAGCAGGGAAGAAGCGAAAGUGACGGUACCUGCAGAAGAAGCGCCGGCUAACUACGUGCCAGCAGCCGCGGUAAUACGUAGGGCGCGAGCGUUGUCCGGAAUUAUUGGGCGUAAAGAGCUCGUAGGCGGCUUGUCGCGUCGGUUGUGAAAGCCCGGGGCUUAACCCCGGGUCUGCAGUCGAUACGGGCAGGCUAGAGUUCGGUAGGGGAGAUCGGAAUUCCUGGUGUAGCGGUGAAAUGCGCAGAUAUCAGGAGGAACACCGGUGGCGAAGGCGGAUCUCUGGGCCGAUACUGACGCUGAGGAGCGAAAGCGUGGGGAGCGAACAGGAUUAGAUACCCUGGUAGUCCACGCCGUAAACGUUGGGCACUAGGUGUGGGCGACAUUCCACGUCGUCCGUGCCGCAGCUAACGCAUUAAGUG
rnacentral:rRNA from 1 species